UGGAGAUCUGUGAAAUCCACUGGCCAUUAGGGCAGAGAAGAGGGGGCGGCUGCAGCAGGCGGUCUGGGCAGGGUUGUGGGCAGGAUUUGGGGGUUGGAUUUGGAGGAGAGGUAGGGAAGUGAAAAUCCGCAGUUCGGCUGUCUGCCCCACCGGCCUUUAAGGGGCCUGUAUGUUCUCGAGGAAUGCCUGCUGGAGUGGGAGGCUGGGAUAAUGGGAAGAAGAUGGCGGAAAGAAAGAUUGGAGGAGGAGGUCUACAUGAUCCUUUGGAGAUCCCGGGGUCAGAGAGGACGGGGAGACCGGAACAGAGCCCUCAUCCAAUGGCUGAUGGAAGCAGAGACAGACAUCCACAGAUAUACACUGAGCUGAAAUCUGGAAUUUAAUUGAAGAGAGGAAGGAAUGAAGAGCGAAGGGAACCUGGAAGCAACCUAGAUGCCCCUCAACUGAAGAAUGGAUAGAGAAAAUGUGGUACAUUUACACAAUGGAGUACUAUGCAGUGGAAAAAAAUGGAAUCUUGAAAUUCGCAGCCAAUGAAGACCCGUCUGACAGCAAUCCUUGGAUGCUCCGGAAAAGGAACUGGGCCACACC
rnacentral:lncRNA from 1 species